rnacentral:tRNA from 18 species
GGGGCGGAUGUAGCCAAGU